UACGUAGGUGGCGAGCGUUGUCCGGAAUUACUGGGCGUAAAGGGCGAGUAGGCGGUAACACAAGUCAGAUGUGAAAGGCGAGGGCUCAACCCUCGGAUUGCAUUUGAAACUGUGUAACUUGAGUGCGGUAGAGGAAAGUGGAAUUCCCAGUGUAGCGGUGAAAUGCGUAGAUAUUGGGAGGAACACCAGUGGCGAAGGCAGGUCUCUGGGCAGUUACUGACGCUGAGGAGCGAAAGCAUGGGUAGCGAACAGGAUUAGAUACCCGGGUAGU
rnacentral:rRNA from 1 species